UACGUAGGUGGCGAGCGUUGUCCGGAUUUACUGGGCGUAAAGGGAGCGUAGGCGGACUUUUAAGUGAGAUGUGAAAUACUCGGGCUCAACUUGAGUGCUGCAUUUCAAACUGGAAGUCUAGAGUGCGGGAGAGGAGAAUGGAAUUCCUAGUGUAGCGGUGAAAUGCGUAGAGAUUAGGAAGAACACCAGUGGCGAAGGCGAUUCUCUGGACUGUAACUGACGCUGAGGCACGAAAGCGUGGGGAGCAAAUAGG
rnacentral:rRNA from 1 species